rnacentral:lncRNA from 1 species
GAAAUAAAUAAAGAGAGAGAGGUUAUUAUGAUUUAUUAAUAUGUUAUAAGAAUGAUAUAUUAAAGGAGAAAUCAUAUUUGUUUAAUUAAUAUUGGUCAAUAAUUAAUUAAGAAUUAAUUUUGUGAUCAAGUGUAAUUAAUUAAACUAGAGGGGCUGAAUUGUAAUUAUGUGAUAGUUACAAAAUAAGGUAAGGAUUAUCUUAUAUAUAUGGUGAACGAAUUUGAGGUGUAAAUCCCUUAGAAUUCGACUAGGAUAAGGGUUUCUAGGACUUAUCUUAUGGUUGCUUGGUGGACAAGCAACUAGAUAAGGAUAAGGACUAAAACCUUAAUCUUUACACCUAUAUAAACCCCCUAGGGCUUAGGAAUUCGUCUAACCCUUCCCAAGAGGUCCUAAGGACGAAUUCUAACCUCCCUCCUCUCUCUUUAUACCUUCUCCACUUGCUUAUGGUGUUUGUAAGCCAUUAGAGGAGUGACACUUGUGACUCUCAGCUUUCCAAGGUCAAUUCAAGGAGGAAUUGGAUUGUUAUUGCUAUAUAACAAUCAAGGUAUGUUCUUAAACCUAAUUACAUGUGAAUUCUGAUUUCCAUAUGCUAGAAUUAGGGUUCAAAGUCUUGGAUUCAAAGUAUGUACAAUAGAGAAACCUAGAUCCAAGCUUUAGGGUUUGUAUGAGCACAUAGGAUGUCUUAUGACCAAAACCCAUCAGUGGUAUCAGAGCCAUGAUUGGUUUCUAUUGUAUUGAUGCUUGAUGUAACUGAAAAUCGUGUUUUGGCCUCACUGUUCGACCUGACUCGGCGAGUCACUCUUGGACUCGGCGAGUCAGCCCUACUCGGCGAGUUCCAGAGGGUGACUCGGCGAGUCGGUGCGUCAGACAGUGCUUAUCUCGGGAUUUCUUGCUGUUUUUGCAUUGGGAUAAUUACCUUAUCAUGUUAGAUUAAUAUUAAUCCGAUUAUAUGAUAUAUUUGACUAUAUUUUUAAUCUAAUUGAAGAUAUUUAUCAAUUAAUAAGAUAAUUGUUUCCUUAUAAGAUAAUUGAUUAAUUAUUUUAAGUAAAUUGAUAAAUUAUUUUGCAAGAAAUCAUCAAAUAUGGAUAAUUAUGUGAUUAAAUGUUAAUUUGAAUUAUUUGUUAUUUGAUCCUUGUUGUUGUGAAAAGUUUCAUAUUUGGCCCUUUAGGUUUUAUAGUUUAAAUUUGAACCCCAAAAGUUUUGUUGUUUUGAAAUUUAAAUAGUUGAAACCCUAAUGUUUUGAAAAAGGUUUCAAAACUUGCCCUCAAGUUUUGGAAUUUAAAUUUUGAUUAAAUAGUUUAAUUUUGAUGCAUAUUUAAAUUCUAAACCCUAAUGUGUUGAAAUGUUUCAAAACUUGCCCUCAAGUUUUGGAAUUUAAAAGUUGAUUAAAAGUUUAAUUAGGAAUGUUAAAUUCUAAAACUCUAGUAUAGUUUUGAAAAAGUUCACAUCACACCCUUAUGGUUUUAUUAAUUAAUUAAGGUGUAUAAUUAAAAGAGGUUUAAUAAAUCCAUAAAAGUUUAGGUUUACAAUUUAAUUGAAUUAAAAGUAUAAUUGUUAAAUUAGACCACCUAGUAUUUUAAAAGUAUAAAAUACACCCUAUACUAUAUAUAACAUUAAAAGUCUAACAUUAUAUAUAUGUAUGAGUAAAAGUCAGUCUUACCGUUAGUAGGCCUCAUUCACGAAGCUGGUCUAUAAGGGGUGUUUAAGGAAAUUGCCUAUAAAAUGGCGAUUGAAUGGGUAUCCACUCUUACCCACCGCACUCUUGACUAGUGGAGGGUCGUUAGCCGAACGGGUAGGAUAGGACGAAACCUUCCAUUAUAAGUAUAAUGAAUUAUUAAAGUAACUAAAUGUUUUCAUAAAAUUCCCAAUCUUAGUUACUUAGGCAAAAGUGAAUUGAUGCAAUUCCAUGAAAUUACACUUUGUGCCCUUGCGAAGACGUUAGUGGAGCGUGUGUGGUUUACCGGCACACUAAAUGGUUCUAAGCAAAGGUAGCAAAGGGUGACUCAAUGUUUGUCAUAGUUCGGUGGAGCGUGUGUGGUUUACCGGCACAUCGAAUAGGUGACUGUAACAUGUGAGGGCACCAUGUAAGUUUGCAUGGUUAUUCACACCCGCUUUGUGAUCCUCGGCAUCCCAGUCACAAACAAGAGGGGCAUAUCGAGAUUUAAACAUGCCAUUGAAAGUUCAAUGAAUCUCAAAGGAUCUAGGAGUUUUCAUAGAUUUAAAACUUAAAUUUCUUUUUCGUUUUUCAUGGUGGAAAUUAGUGAAUCGUCAUUCACUUACCUUCAAAUAUUCUGCAAUUAGGGUUACGGCAUCCCUCUCCCGAGUUGUAGAAUAUUGUGUUGGGUCCUAGCCUUAGUAUCUCAUUUGGGUGAUUUACUAAGGACUCAAUCAAUCAACUAACUUGAAUUCGUUUUCUCCCGUUUUGUAGAUGUCAAAGUUCGACAACUAUGGUCUUCCCAAAUCCCGUGGAACAAGCAUUCCACAUGAAGAUGAUAUUCCACGAUUCGAUCGAGGAACAAGAAAUCAUGCUUCACUUCCUCCUCCUCCUCCAAUUAUUCUCCCUAACCCACAAGUUCAAAGGCUUGAAAAGUUCAAGAUCACUCAAGCCCUUUUGGCAAGUAAACAUAAAGAAGGAAAGUCGGUGUGUGCACACGUCCUAGGGAUGAAGUCACACAUUGAUAGGUUAAGAAUGUUGGGAUCCGUUGUCUGUGAGGAAAUGGCUGUUGAUUGGGUUCUUCAGUCACUUCCUAACUCAUAUAGUGAGUUCGUAAGAGAGUACUAUAUGAUGAACCGCGACGUGACCCUUAUAGAUCUCACCUAUAUGCUUAUUGCUGCUGAAUCAGCAAUGGUUUGGCGCAAUAGAAAAGCAAAGUUGAUUGGUGAAUCUGCCUUCAAGACCUCUAUGGAUAUAGACAAUGGCAACGAAAGACAUGCUAUGAUCGAAAAGUUUGAUCAUAAGAGAAAGGCAAUGUCUGAAGUAGUUCCAUGUCAUGUUCCAAAAGAGUCAAUUUGCUUUUAUUGCCAAGAGAAAGGGCAUUGGAGACGAAGCUGCCCCAUUUACCUAAGAGAUCUAAGAGAUGGGAGAGUCGAAACGUAUGGCUCUAAUAUAGGUAAAAUCCAUUAACUAACUCUUUUAAGCUUCUAUUCUAGAUUCUUAAUACAUAAUGUGAUAAGAUUACAAUUGAUGUUUUGUAGGAUCGAAGAAAAGAAAGGAAGCUUAAGGGAAGAAGUGAGCAGAAUCUAACCGUGAAGGAAUGGAUUUCGAUCGCAUUUCUCGAAGAUUAGAUUCUUGAGCUACUACUUAGAGUUAGAAUUAGAUUGCUAAGAAAGAUGUAUUAGCAUAGUUUUUCAAUGAAUUGCAUUGUAAGGACAAAUUUUUUCCGCAAUAAAAUAAAUUUUGAUUUUAUAUUAUUUAUUUAUCCUUGCAAUGGCGUAUAUGAAAAAUUGAUGUUUGAAUGUUUCUAUUAUUAGCAAUAAUGGAUUUGGUUCUUAUUAUGUUAUUUAUGGAAAGUCGAGAAUUUACCAAAUAGGGAGAGUUUCUCAUCGCCCAAGUUUCAAUUGGACAGAAACUUGGAAUCAUGCAACUUGGUUGCACGAUGAAUGAGAAAUUUCAUAUUUGGAAAUUAGACUAAUUCAUUGACAAAGUGUCAAGUGAAGGACUAGGAGAUCGAGUACACAAAGUUGCGUGUUGAUCAAGUCCACCAUAAGAGUAACAAAGAUAUUCGUCAUGAUUUACUAAAGGUUUAGUAAAUAUGAUUAUACUUACAAGAUUAAGUGUAAUUCUGAAUUGAUUGAAAAAGUUUAAAUCAAUAGCAGAACGAAUAAGAAGAAUCAAGUAGGCAGAAAGAUAAAAGUUUCUCCAUUCUAAGAAGAAGGGAGAGUACCUUUUAUGCUUUAUGAUAGGUCUUAAUGAUUAAGAACCAUAUCUCAAUUGAUCCUCUAAGUGAGUCUUAGUACAAUUGUAUGUCUAAGAAGAGGAAUCAAGAAUUGAAGAAAUGGUUAAAUCAAGAAGUCAAUCAUACUUCGUUCCAAAACAAGUCUUAGAGUUAAGAUUGUGACAUUGAGUGAUAAGUAUUAAGAAGGUUUAUAACAUUCAUCAAAUGUGGAAAGUUGUGAUGUCUUGGAUAAGACAAAGACCAACUAGGACCAAUUUAUGAAGUGUUUUGAUAAAAGCUACACUAACUCUUGAAUAUUUGUUUGUCAAGAAAUGUUUAUUGACAAGAGAAUCUUAUAUGUCAAGGAGUCAGUGGGAGUCUUAAUGGUCUUGAAAGGUUUCAAGAACAAAUCAAAUAAACCUUAUCGAUCAUCACUAGCACACGAGUUGAGGUUUACAACCUAUCGUGUUGACAUUAUUUUGUUUCUGUGCCAAUCCAAUCGAGUUAAUUAUGCAUGUGAGUUCUAUGAGUUCUCAUUUUGAACGCAUAAAAGGCAAAGCACCUUAAUCAAUGAAAGGUACAUUGAUAGGAAAGGGUGAGCUGCUUAACUACUUGGAAGACAUGGUGGGCAGCUGUGCUACCAUAAGGCAAGAAAUCAAGAUUAAGAAAGUUCGGUCCAUAUGAGUUUGAAUUUGUCGUAAACUUUGGUUUUGACAAAUUCACAUGGAUAGGAACACAUACACCGUUUAAAUCUAAGUGUCAUAAGAUUUCCUCCUUCAUGAAAAUGAUUGUGAGGAAAUGCUUUCACUAAGAAAGAUUUUAAGAAGAUAGUGAUUGUAAAAUUGCAUUCUCGAAUUCGAUUAUGGUUACGGUAUCCCUUUCCAUAAUUUGAAUUGUGAGGUUUGGCAAUUAGUCUUAAUUGUUUAGACACACAUAUGAACUAUCGAAGGCAAAGGUGUAUAAGUUCAAGAAGCCUUGAUAAAAGAUUAUCAAAGCACUAAGUAUUAGAAACAUGAACUUAAGAAAUUCAAUAAGUAUUGUUUUUCUGAAAGUUAAGAUGUUUAUGAAUACAUGUCGAAGCUAGUGGGAGCAUAAGUGUUAUGUUUUAUAAUAAUCAUCAUGAUAGUGGGAGCAUAAAUGUUAUGAUUGUAUGAUUAUUAAGGAAAGUAUUGCAAGUUGGCAAUAUUAAUUAUAGAAAACAAGAGUCAUACUUUGCAAAGUUGUAAGGGUGGAAUAGUUGUUUUGCUAUAAUUAAGGGAGAGAAUAUUAUGCUUCAUUUCAAAUCUAAAGGCUUAGGUUGAGAAAUGUUAAUAAAUUUAGUCAAAGGUACAUAGUGUGUUCUUAAAAUUUCGAUUAUGAUUACGGCAUUCCUCUUCACAAUUCGAAUUUUGAGAACAUAGCAAAUAAAACAUUAUGCGUCGUGUCCCAUACGCUUCGGGUAUAGGAUCGAUUGCAAAUGCUUUAAUGUUUGACCAUUCUAAAAUUUUCCAAAUGUCGAGCGCAUUUAGAGGGAAAAGGGACUAGAAUUGGUUUUGACUAAAAUAAUUAAACAACUAUCAAAGGACAAUCCAAAGUUCGACGAGGAUUGGUCGCUUGUGAGUAGUUGGAAGUAUAGUAUUGGAAAAUAUGGAAAUGUUUCCAUAUUGGAUGGACCAUAUCGACAUCAUUACGAAUAGAUAAGAUUCUAUUAAGAAUGAGUUGUCAUAUGGAACAUAUGGAAGUGUGUCCAUAUUGGGAAUUGAAUAUUGAGAAAUCUAUGACUAGAUUAGAAACUUCUAUGCAAAAGGAUGUUCAAAGAAUGUACUUUGAGUGAGAGACAUCACGUCUAUGGAAUUGUCUUGUAACAAUCUCCGAUAGAGGACUUUGUAAUAUCAUUGGCAAUAGUCUUUGUGACUUUGGUGCAGUGACAUUACGAAAGGAUAGUUGCAUAGAAUGUUAGAAUCUAGCAUAUUCUAUAAGUAGCAAGAAUUUGAUAUUCUUUAACUUAUGAAAAACGGAUUUGGAGUUGUGAAAUGAGAAGGAUUGGAAAUGUGUUCAAUGUGAUCUAUUUCACAAAGUAAGAACCAUAGGUAAACAUUGUGUGCAUGCUAGGAGCAUGGGACAAGUGUUGGAAUUCAAGUAAGAAGUUGAUUACCCGAAACGACAAAUAAUGAGUAAUCAAUAUGGUGAUAAAUAAAAGGUGUUUUAUUUAUACUCAAAGGUUUGAGGCCAUAUGGGAUUAGUAUUAUUCUUGUGUUUCACAUUUGCAUGUUUUGACUUCCAGAAUAAUUGAGUUUAUUAAGAAUAAUCGAAUUAUUCAAACGGGCCACAGUCGUUCAUAUGUUGGAAGUAGAUAUGAAUGAAGACUGUCGUGAAUUGGUGUGUGGAUUGUCUAAAAGAGUAUUAGACAUAAGCAAAUGUUUGCUGCAACGUUCAUGAGUGCUUAUGAAUGUGAUUUGAGCAUUGGAUUAAACCCACGCUCACUUGGAUCACUCCAUGAAUUGUAUCACGAGUGAUUGGUGAGACGAUAACAUCUUAUAUUCUUGAAACCGAGAUGUGUGAGUUGUAUCUUGCAAAUCGGUUGCACAUUGAUAAUAUGUAAACGCACUAGUAACUUGGUGUUAUAAAACAUAUUGUUGUGUGUGAUUCGGUGAGUGAGUGCAAGCAAGCAUUGUAUCAAAGUUUAUCCGUUCCUUUUAUCCAAAGUAGGAUAAAAGCGAUAUCUUUGGGCCCCUCGAUGGUUUAGUGAUGACAAACGUAAAUGCUCGGCCGGGCUAGGGCUAAUUUGAUUUGUUCAAUUAGUCAGUCGUCAUAAAUCGGGAAUCGAGAUAUAGUACAAAGAGAAUGAUUUGAAAUCAUAUCUCAUAUGAUAUCUAGAAUGGAGGAAUAUAUGAUCCCUUAUCUAAGGACACGCGUAUUUGAUAUGAUCAGAGUUGACAGCGGCUUUGGAAAGCUACGAUUGCAGAUCGGGAUCCGAAGUCAUACGCAGAAUAGUUAUUAGACUUAUCCAAGUGGGAGACUGUUGGAUUAGUGUCUAAGUCCAUAACUAUUUUGGUAUGUACUUGACCCGAUGGUGCAUGGUCCUUUUGGGUUGCCUUCACCAAAGCAACUUGAUUGGAGAAAUAAAUAAAGAGAGAGAGGUUAUUAUGAUUUAUUAAUAUGUUAUAAGAAUAAUAUAUUAAAGGAGAAAUCAUAUUUGUUUAAUUAAUAUUGGUCAAUAAUUAAUUAAGAAUUAAUUUUGUGAUCAAGUGUAAUUAAUUAAACUAGAGGGGCUGAAUUGUAAUUAUGUGAUAGUUACAAAAUAAGGUAAGGAUUAUCUU